rnacentral:rRNA from 1 species
AAAGGGAAACAGCCCAGACCACCAGCUAAGGUCCCAAAAUAUAUGUUAAGUGGAAAAGGAUGUGGCGUUGCCCAGACAACUAGUAUGUUGGCUUAGAAGCAGCCAUCAUUUAAAGAGUGCGUAAUAGCUCACUAGUCGAGUGACACUGCGCCGAAAAUGUACCGGGGCUAAACAUAUUACCGAAGCUGUGGAUUGUCCGUAGGACAAUGGUAGGAGAGCGUUCUAAGGGCGUUGAAGCAUGAUCGUAAGGACAUGUGGAGCGCUUAGAAGUGAGAAUGCCGGUGUGAGUAGCGAAAGACGGGUGAGAAUCCCGUCCACCGAUUGACUAAG